GGGAUUGUGGCUCAGUGGUAGAGAGCGCACCUAGCAUGUGAGGGGCACUGAGUUCUAUCCUUAGCAUCACA
rnacentral:tRNA from 1 species